rnacentral:rRNA from 1 species
AUUGAACGCUGGCGGCAGGCCUAACACAUGCAAGUCGAACGAGUGGCGGACGGGUGAGUAAUGUCUGGGAAACUGCCUGAUGGAGGGGGAUAACUACUGGAAACGGUAGCUAAUACCGCAUACCAUCGGAUGUGCCCAGAUGGGAUUAGCUAGUAGGUGGGGUAAAGGCUCACCAAGGCGACGAUCCCUAGCUGGUCUGAGAGGAUGACCAGCCAAACGGGAACUGAGACACGGUCCAGACUCCUAAGGGAGGAAGCAGUGGGGAAUAUUUCAAAAUGGGCGCAAGCCUGAUGCAGCAAUGCCGCGUGUAUGAAGAAGGCCUUCGGGUUGUAAAGUACUUUCAGCGGGGAGGCGUUACCCGCAGAAGAAGCACCGGCUAACUCCGUGCCAGCAGCCGCGGUAAUAC